ensembl:lncRNA
UUACACAUUGUCUCUAUAUAUACAGCAGGUAAUUACACACGUAUUGUCUCUAUAAUACAGCAGGUGAUUACACAGUAUUGUCUCUGUAUAUGCAGCAGGUAAUUACACAUGAAUUGUCUCUAUAUAAACAGCAGGUAAUUACACAUGUAUUGUCUCUAUAUAAGAUAGGUAUUACACACGUAUUGUCUCAUAAAACAGCAGGUAAUUCACAUGUAUUGUCUCUAUAAUACAGCAGGUAAUUACACAUGUAUUGUCUCUAUAUAUACAGUAGGUUAUUACACAUGUAUUGCCUUAAUAACAGCAGGUCAUUUCACAUAUAGUCCUCUAUAUGCAGUAGGUAAUUACACAUGUAUUGUCUCUAUAUAAACAGCAGGUAAUUACACAUGUAUUGUCUAUAUAUACAGCAGGUAAUUACACAUGUAUUGUCUAUAUAACAGCAGGUAAUUACACAUGAUUGUCUCUAUAUAUACAGCAGGUAAUUACACAGGUAUUGUCUCUAUAUAUACAGCAGGUAAUUACACAUUGUCUCUAUAUAUACAGCAGGUAAUUACACACGUAUUGUCUCUAUAUAUACAGCAGGUAAUUACACACGUAUUGUCUCUGUAUAUACAGCAGGUAAUUACACAUGUAUUGUCUCUAUAUAUACAGCAGGUAAUUACACACGUAUUGUCUCUAUAUAAAAGUAGUAUACACAUGUAUUGUCUCUAUAUAUACAGAGGUAAUUACACAUGUAUUGUCUUAUAUAUACAGCAGGUAAUUACACAUGUAUUGUCUCUAUAUAUACAGCAGGUAAUUACACAUUGUCUCUAUAUAUACAGCAGGUAAUUACACAUGUAUUGUCUCUAUAUAUACAGCAGGUAAUUACACAUGUAUUGUCUCUGUAUAUCCAGCAGGUAAUUACACAUUGUCUCUAUAUAACAGCAGUAAUUACACAUGUAUUGUCUCUAUAUAUACAGCAGUAAUUACACAUG